CGGUGAGAGAUGGGCCCGCGGCCUGUUAGCUUGUUGGUGAGGUAACGGCCCACCAAGGCUAUUAUGGGUAGCUGGGUUGAGAGACCGACCAGCCAGAUUGGGACUGAGACACGGCCCAGACUCCUACGGGAGGCAGCAGUGGGGAAUCUUGCACAAUGGGCGAAAGCCUGAUGCAGCGACGCCGCGUGCGGGAUGAAGGCCUUCGGGUUGUAAACCGCUUUCAGCAGGGACGAGGCGCAAGUGACGGUACCUGCAGAAGAAGCCCCGGCUAAAUACGUGCCAGCAGCCGCGGUAAUACGUAUGGGGCAAGCGUUAUCCGGAUUCAUUGGGCGUAAAGCGCUCGUAGGCGGCCCGUUAGGUCGGGAGUUAAAUUCCGGGGCUCAACCCCGGUCCGCUCCCGAUACCGGCGGGCUUGAGUUUGGUAGGGGAAGGUGGAAUUCCCAGUGUAGCGGUGGAAUGCGCAGAUAUUGGGAAGAACACCGGUGGCGAAGGCGGCCUUCUGGGCCAUAACUGACGCUGAGGAGCGAAAGCUAGGGGAGCAAACAGGAUUAGAUACCCCGGUAGUCUACGCUGUAAACGAUGGAUACUAGCAGUUUUAGGUAUCGACCCCUGGAGUUGCGAAGCUAACGCGUUAAGUAUCCCACCUGUGUAGUACGACCGCAAGAUUAAAACAUAAAGGAAUUGACGGGGACCCGCACAAGCGGUGGAGCGUGAUCUUUAAUUCGAUGGUAAACGAUAAACCUUACCAAGGCUUGACAUCCGAGGAAGGCUCUGGAAACAGAACUGUGCCUUCGGGAACCUCGAGACAGGUGAUGCAUGGCCGUCGUCAGCUCGUGUCGUGAGAUGUUUGGUUAAGUCCAUCAACGAGCGCAACCCUUGCAACCAGUUGGAUUUUUCUGGUAGGACUGCCCCGGUAACGGGGAGGAAGGAGGGGAUGAUGUCAGGUCAGUAUUUCCCUUACGCCUUGGGCUAGAAUCGCGCUACAAUGGCCGGUACAAUGCGAAGCGAAGCAGUGAUGUGAAGCAAACCGCACCAAAGCCGGUCCCAGUUCGGACUGGAGGCUGAAACUCGCCUCCACGAAGUCGGAAUCGCUAGUAAUCGCAGAUCAGCAUGUUGCGGUGAAUACGUUCCCGGGUCUUGCACACACCGCCCGUCAA
rnacentral:rRNA from 1 species